UACGUAGGGUGCGAGCGUUAAUCGGAAUUACUGGGCGUAAAGCGUGCGCAGGCGGUUUUGUAAGUCGGAUGUGAAAUCCCCGGGCUUAACCUGGGAAUGGCAUUCGGGACUGCAAGGCUGGAGUGCGGCAGAGGAGACUGGAAUUCCUGGUGUAGCAGUGAAAUGCGUAGAUAUCAGGAGGAACACCGGUGGCGAAGGCGGAUCUCUGGGCCAUUACUGACGCUGAGGAGCGAAAGCGUGGGGAGCGAACAGG
rnacentral:rRNA from 1 species